ACUCAAAGGAAUUGACGGGGACCCGCACAAGCGGUGGAGCAUGUGGUUUAAUUCGAGGCAACGCGAAGAACCUUACCAGGCCUUGACAUGUCCAGUAUGGGGAUCAGAGACGGUCCCCUUCAGUUUGGCUGGCUGGAACACAGGUGCUGCAUGGCUGUCGUCAGCUCGUGUCGUGAGAUGUUGGGUUAAGUCCCGCAACGAGCGCAACCCUCGUCCUUAGUUGCCAUCAUUCAGUUGGGAACUCUAAGGAAACCGCCAGCGUUAAGCUGGAGGAAGGUGGGGAUGACGUCAAGUCCUCAUGGCCCUUACGGCCUGGGCUACACACGUGCUACAAUGGCGGUGACAGUGGGCUGCUACCUCGCAAGAGGGUGCGAAUCCCAAAAAACCGUCUCAGUUCGGAUUGUCCUCUGCAACUCGAGGGCAUGAAGUUGGAAUCGCUAGUAAUCGCAGAUCAGCACGCUGCGGUGAAUACGUUCCCGGGUCUUGUACACACCGCCCGU
rnacentral:rRNA from 1 species